UAUCUCUUCUUCUUCUUUCUUCCUUUCUCCAACCAAACCAAACCAAACUAGACUAACUCUUGAAAAAGAGACUUUCUUUCUUUCUUUCUUUCUGUAUAUUUUUUUUUGUCUUUGUUUGGUGGAGGUGGUGGUGGUGGAGGUGGUGUUGUUGUUGUUGAAGAAGAAGCCAUCAAAAAUGGAAACCACAACAAGAAUAUUACAAGAAAGCAAGAACCCAUCUCCCUUAAACUCACCAAAGAGUGUUGGAAGCAACAACAUCAGCUGUAGCAACAGCAAUGGGGUCCAAAUUCACACCCCACCACUCACACCAAUUCCCAUCUCCAGAUCUACAGAAACUAACCCUUACCCAACAACCUUUGUUCAAGCAGACACAACCAACUUCAAACAAGUAGUUCAAAUGCUAACUGGUUCUUCUGAAACCGCCAAGCAAGCUUCAUCGAAACCGGCUGUGCCAACAGAUCCAUCUUCAUCAUCAAACAAGUCGUCUUUUGUCAUACCGCCCAUGAAGACCACCACGCCGAAGAAACAAAAUUUUAAGCUUUAUGAAAGGAGAGCUAACAACUUCAAGAACAGUCUUAUGAUCAACACUUUAAUACCAAGUUUUGCAAAUAAUUCUGGGUUUUCUCCUAGGAAUAAGCCUGAAAUCUUGUCUCCAAGUUUGCUUGACUUUCCUAAACUUGCACUUAGUAGUCCUGUUACACCACUAAAUGAAGACCCUUUCAACAAGUCUUCUCCUUCUUUAGGAACGUCAUCAUCAGAGGAAGAGAAAGCCAUAGCUGAGAAGGGAUUUUAUUUGCAUCCAUCACCAAUAUCAACUCCUAGAGAUCAUGAGCCACAGCUUUUGUCACUUUUCCCUGUAACUUCACCUAGAGUUUCAGGCUCAUCUGCCUGAAAAAAAAAAAUUUAUGUAAUUUGAGAAUGGUUGUAAGAGGAAGUUUGAUGGGUCCUGGAUGAUUUUGAGGGACGAAAAGUAGAGGAUCUUGUUUCAAUUGUACAAUUUGAUCUCUUUUUCAUAAUAUGGGGGAGUUAAUAGUUUGCCAGAGAAGCAUUUUCAUUUUUCAAUCUGAAAAUGACCCAUAUUGCAGACCAGAACUCAACAAGAGACAGCAAAUGUAGGCUCAUCUAAUUCUGUUGACUCAGCCACAACAAUUUGGUGAUUACUUAAACUCAUGGCCUUGAAAAUUUUACAAGGUAGGCAAAAGGAAGCAUCAGGCCAGCCAUUUGAAGCACUUUUCUUGACUUCUUGUUCAAUAUUCAGUACAGUUAUCAGAUUUUUUUGGUAUUGAAUGCUUGCA